rnacentral:lncRNA from 1 species
CCCAUUUGGCAAAUAAUAUAAAUGAUGAGAUAAAGUGUCUAGUGGUAGUUUGAAUUUCUUCAGAGACUUUAUGUCAUGAGAAAUGACUUAAUCUUUUUUUACUCAAAAGAAAGUAUUUUAAUUUAAAAUUGCAAAAUAUAGCUUCUAAGUGUUUCCAUUAGCAAAUCACUGUAUUGGGCCUGUUGACUAUGGUAGUAGCUGAGUUACAGGUUACAUGUUAAUUUCCUUUAAUAGUUCAUCUGUGCUUAAUUUUCCUUUUUCCUCCCAUAGGCAACCUCAUUUAAAUUAAAAUGAAU